rnacentral:rRNA from 1 species
AUCUGUACGCUCACGUACAGGCUGCUGGGAAUACUGCAGGGCUAGGGAGUGGGAGAGAUAGACGGUACUCGGGAGGAAGUGGUAAAAUGCUUUGAUCUCUCGAUGACCACCUGUGGCGAAGGCGGUCUAUCAGAACACGUCCGACGGUGAGGGAUGAAAGCUGGGGGAGCAAACCGGAUUAGAUACCCGGGUAGUCCCAGCUGUAAACUAUGCAAACUCAAUGAUGCAUUGACUUAUGGUCAAUGCAGUGUUGCAGGGAAGCCGUUAAGUUUGCCGCCUGGGAAGUACGUACGCAAGUAUGAAACUUAAAGGAAUUGGCGGGGGAGCACCACAAGGGGUGAAGUCUGCGGUUCAAUUGGAUUCAACGCCGGAAAUCUCACUGGAAGCGACGGCAGGAUGAUGGCCAAGCUGAUGACUUUGCUUGACGAGCCGAGAGGAGGUGCAUGGCCGUCGUCAGCUCGUACCGUAAGGCGUCCUGUUAAGUCAGGCAACGAGCGAGACCCGUACCCUUAUUUGUCAUCUGAUCCCUACGGGGAUCAAGGCCCAUUAAGGGGACCGCUGCUGAUAAAGCAGAGGAAGGAGCGAGCAACGAUAGGUCAGUAUGCCCCGAA